rnacentral:tRNA from 1 species
GGGCUGGUGGUCUAGGUGGUUAUGACGUCUGCCUCACACGCAGAAGGUCCCCGGUUCAACUCCGGGCCAGCCCA